CCCAAGAAGAAAACCUUCCCAAUGGGAUGCUUGUAGAGGACCACCCCCAACUCCUGUGUGGAAGCUGGGCUGCCAGAGAAUCAGAGCUACAUCUCUGUUUUGAGUUAUAAUAUGCAGCCUAGAAAAGGACUGGAGCGGUGCAGGACUGGAAAAGAAUCAGAGAGGAAAUACAUACCAUCACACAGGCAGCAGAUGAUUCCUGCUAGGCUUUGGGUAAUGGCAGCUGGAUAAAGAAGUUGGAUGCAUUUGAGAAACAUCUACCAGGGAUGCUACAGGUGGGACAGAGGCAGCGAAUGGCAAGCAUCAGUGCCCUCCAGCCAGAGGCUACAAGGAAUACCCCUACAGUUGAUCCAGUUGAUGAUUUUUCUUUUCUUUUGUAUGUGUGUGUUGGGGGUACUUAUUA